CAUUCAGUCAAUAAUAAGUGCUGCUGUGAAGAGAACAAUUCUCAGACUGAAUGUUGAACAUCAGCUAGUUUCUCCUGUUGAUUUAAACCUUGUUGUAGAGAUGGAACAUUGGCUGUGGAUUAUUUUUGCUGCUCUUCUCUUUGAGUGUAAAGGAGAAGACAGAGUGAUCCAGCCAACAGGAGAUGCCAUUGCUACUGAAGGAGAGACAGUUACUCUUGGCUGUACAUUUGAGACCAGUGACACAUUUCCCCGUUUGUUCUGGUACAAACAAGAAGUAAAUGGCUUUCCAAAGUUCAUACUACAAGUCUACUCUGGAACAAAAGAUGCUGAAGACUUUCAGAAAGAAAGAAUGUAUGCUACAGUCAACAAGCCAUCAGUUCCUCUGAAGAUCCAGAAGGUUCAGCUGUCUGACUCUGCUGUGUACUACUGUGCUCUGCAGCCCACAGUGACAGGAAACACCAAAACUCUGUACAAAAACCUUUGGAGCAACGAUAACACAAUACUCCACAUUAUCCACUAGAGGGAGUAACACACUGUAGGUUAUCCCGGUGACAAUUUAACCUAUUAAGCACCCCCAGGACAAUU